rnacentral:rRNA from 1 species
UACGGAGGGUGCAAGCGUUAUCCGGAUUCACUGGGUUUAAAGGGUGCGUAGGUGGGUUGGUAAGUCAGUGGUGAAAUCCCCGAGCUUAACUUGGGAACUGCCUUUGAUACUAUCAGUCUUGAAUACUGUGGAGGUCAGCGGAAUAUGUCAUGUAGCGGUGAAAUGCUUAGAUAUGACAUAGAACACCAAUUGCGAAGGCAGCUGGCUACACAAAUAUUGACACUCAGGCACGAAAGCGUGGGGAUCAAACAGG